GCCUGGGUGGCUCAGUUGGUUGAGCAUCUGACCUCGGCUCGGGUCAUGGUCUCAUGGUUCGUGGGUUCGAGCCCCACGUCAGGCU
rfam:Felis catus isolate Cinnamon breed Abyssinian chromosome B2, whole genome shotgun sequence.